GUGGGAAGUGGCGAACGGGUGAGUAACACGUGAGCAACCUGCCCCUGACUCUGGGAUAAGCGCUGGAAACGGCGUCUAAUACUGGAUAUGUGACGUGAUCGCAUGGUCUGCGUCUGGAAAGAAUUUCGGUUGGGGAUGGGCUCGCGGCCUAUCAGCUUGUUGGUGAGGUAAUGGCUCACCAAGGCGUCGACGGGUAGCCGGCCUGAGAGGGUGACCGGCCACACUGGGACUGAGACACGGCCCAGACUCCUACGGGAGGCAGCAGUGGGGAAUAUUGCACAAUGGGCGCAAGCCUGAUGCAGCAACGCCGCGUGAGGGAUGACGGCCUUCGGGUUGUAAACCUCUUUUAGCAGGGAAGAAGCGAAAGUGACGGUACCUGCAGAAAAAGCGCCGGCUAACUACGUGCCAGCAGCCGCGGUAAUACGUAGGGCGCAAGCGUUAUCCGGAAUUAUUGGGCGUAAAGAGCUCGUAGGCGGUUUGUCGCGUCUGCUGUGAAAUCCGGAGGCUCAACCUCCGGCCUGCAGUGGGUACGGGCAGACUAGAGUGCGGUAGGGGAGAUUGGAAUUCCUGGUGUAGCGGUGGAAUGCGCAGAUAUCAGGAGGAACACCGAUGGCGAAGGCAGAUCUCUGGGCCGUAACUGACGCUGAGGAGCGAAAGGGUGGGGAGCAAACAGGCUUAGAUACCCUGGUAGUCCACCCCGUAAACGUUGGGAACUAGUUGUGGGGUCCAUUCCACGGAUUCCGUGACGCAGCUAACGCAUUAAGUUCCCCGCCUGGGGAGUACGGCCGCAAGGCUAAAACUCAAAGGAAUUGACGGGGACCCGCACAAGCGGCGGAGCAUGCGGAUUAAUUCGAUGCAACGCGAAGAACCUUACCAAGGCUUGACAUAUACGAGAACGGGCCAGAAAUGGUCAACUCUU
rnacentral:rRNA from 1 species